UACGUAGGUGGCAAGCGUUGUCCGGAUUUACUGGGCGUAAAGAGCGCGCAGGCGGUCGUGCAAGUCGCGUGUGAAAGCCCCCGGCUCAACUGGGGAGGGUCACGCGAUACUGCUCGACUCGAAGGCAGGAGAGGGAAGUGGAAUUCCCGGUGUAGUGGUGAAAUGCGUAGAUAUCGGGAGGAACACCUGUGGCGAAAGCGGCGCACUGGACCACAACUGACGCUGAGGCGCGAAAGCUAGGGGAGCAAACAGG
rnacentral:rRNA from 1 species